AUGGAUGCAGUUAAACCCUCUUCAACACCAAUAUUAGUAAAUCAAAAUCUGAUGUCAUUGGACAAAGAAAUUGAGAAUCCUAAGGAGUAUAUGAGAAUCGUUGCAAUAUCUCACACUCACAUGUCCGGAGAUGCAGUUUGCCGUCAACUUUUACAAUUUAUUUCUUCAUGGAAGCCUCUUCAUUGUGUGGCGGUAAAGAAGGUUCUUCGUUAUCUGUUUGGAACUCAGAAGAUGGGAAUCAUUUUUAGACUAGUUCAGAAUUUUACAAUUUCUGGGUAUUGUGUUGCCGAC
rnacentral:lncRNA from 1 species